rnacentral:rRNA from 1 species
GACGGAGGGUGCUAGCGUUGUUCGGAAUUACUGGGCGUAAAGGGCGCGUAGGCGGCUUCGGCAGUCGGGUGUGAAAGUCCAGGGCUCAACCCUGGGAUGCCGGUGGAUACUGUCGAGCUCGAGUCCGGAAGAGGCGAGUGGAAUUCCUGGUGUAGCGGUGAAAUGCGCAGAUAUCAGGAGGAACACCAAUGGCGAAGGCAGCUCGCUGGGACGUGACUGACGCUGAGACGCGAAAGCGUGGGGAGCAAACAGG